AUUGAACGCUGGCGGCAUGCCUUACACAUGCAAGUCGAACGACAGCACGGAGCUUGCUCUGGUGGCGAGUGGCGAACGGGUGAGUAAUAUAUCGGAACGUACCCAAGAGUGGGGGAUAACGUAGCGAAAGUUACGCUAAUAUCGCAUACGAUCUAAGGAUGAAAGCAGGGGACCUUCGGGCCUUGUGCUCCUGGAGCGGCGGAUAUCUGAUUAGCUAGUUGGUGUGGUAAAGGCUCACCAAGGCAUCGAUCAGUAGCUGGACUGAGAGGACGACCAGCCACACUGGAACUGAGACACGGUCCAGACUCCUACGGGAGGCAGCAGUGGGGAAUUUUGGACAAUGGGGGCAACCCUGAUCCAGCAAUGCCGCGUGAGUGAAGAAGGCCUUCGGGUUGUAAAGCUCUUUUGUCAGGGAAGAAACGGUGAAGGCUAAUAUCCUUUGCUAAUGACGGUACCUGAAGAAUAAGCACCGGCUAACUACGUGCCAGCAGCCGCCGUAAAAC
rnacentral:rRNA from 1 species